GUAUAUACAUAAGGAGAGAAGAGGCUUGCAGACAGAAGAAAUUGGAGAACGUUGAAGCAGAAGGCCGAUGAAGUCCACGACGGUCUCCCUCAGAGCCAUGACUUUCAUCAGGACCUUCCUCCUCAAAGAGAAUGCGGACCGCACGUAGAAAGAUGUAGCCACCCACAAAUAGCCCUAUGGCAUGCGCGGCCCCAAGCCACAUGAUGGCCUGACUGAGGGCAUCUAUUUCGACCAGCUUCAACCGUCAACCGACUAGUUCUCUGCUGACUGGCUGGCAAGAGGCGCAGUCUAACCGAUGGGGACCCGUCGCUAGCAGUCUGUUGUAAGACAGGGCGGCCACCUAGUAACAUGGGAGUAAAUACGACCUCAUAGUAGGGAGCCGCCAUCUUGAAAAAACGUCAGCUCUCUUGUGUCCUUGUGACGUCAUGAUACCGGCGUGGCCAUAUAUAAAAUGUGAGUUCAAUUCAGAACCAAAUGCAGUCCAAAGGAGGCUAUGGAGGAGGCAUGUCUGCAAAUGUUCAAAUGCAGCUUGUAGAUACAAAGGCAGGAUAACUGGGGCACAUAUUUCCAGUUCUUAUGAAUUUCUUUAAUCUUCAUCAUAAAGAUGAAGUCAUUCCUUGGAGGGAGAUGGUCCAUUUUUAAAUGCCUGCUUACUCUGGCGGUUGGAUUUGCCUCUUGUGAGGAGUGGUGGCGGCAGCUGUAUUCUCCCACGUCUGUGUUGUUAUGCCUCUCGACGUACAGCCUUCCAAUUGUGGCAUAGAUAUUAUGCAUUUUAUAGUGCGAUUCAAUCAGUAUGGAGUUGUGUUUUUCUUCACACAGCUUUUCAGAGGCAGCAUAUGCCUUCUCAGUUGCCUGGUGGUAGCGAUGUAUUUUAGUAAGAUCAUUCGAUCUAUGCGCACGGCUCAGAGUCACUGGUGGAUGUUUGUCAUGCUUCCUGCUUUGCUAACAAGAGCAAUUAGUCCAAUAGAAGUGACGAACAGUUUUGCUUGUGGUUUGAAAUCCAAAGUGCUAUGCUGGCCCCAACAAAUGCACAUCCCGUUCCCAACAGGAAAAGACUAACGGUGUCUAUUUCGAUCAUUUCCUUGCUUGAUCUUUUUCCUCCUUAUCCUUCCUGUUAAAAGGAGACUUUAAGUCUCACAUGGGAACUUGCACGUUUUUCCUGGGGAAGAAAAAGCAAACAGAUCAGAAUGGAGAAAGACAGACAAACACCUUACUUCUCCCCUUGCUGACCUUUAUUAAUUAUUUCCCUCUUAGUUCCUUUUAAAUCCCCCUUUUCCCUUUAUUUAUAUAACUUUAUAAAUAAAGUUACACUACCUUCUUUACAUGUCCUCCAAACGUAACAAUUACAUCAUAGUUAUGUCCUCCAGACACAGCCCUGCGCCAUUUUUUCCUUAGGGCCUUCCUAUUCUCCCCCCCCCCUCCCUUCGCAAAAGCCAAAUCUACCCCAAUUAACCUGUCCCUUCCCCACCACCUGUUACCUGUUACAGCAUUUCUUUGAGUGGUCAUCUGCGAAUUCACACAAAUCCCACACAGUCGUGCCCUGCCUGCCUCUCCUUUGGUCCUGGGCUGCUGCUACUCUGCGUCCAUGGAACUGAGGGCUUAGGCGGUAAACCGACUGAUAAUGGCAGUUGGAGAGUGGGUGGGGCUACCGCCAAAAUGCCUUUACUAUCUCCAAGAAGGUUCCGGAGCUAACUCUGCAGGCACAGAAUAGCCACUCGAAGAAAUACUGUUACAGGUAAGCAACCUGUCCAUCUGCUGGUUUUCUAACCAGCUUAAAACAUCUGGAGUAUCCUGAGUAUACAAGAACUGGCAGCAGCUGAGUGAAGGGCAUGACCUGGGACUCCUGGACUUAAAAGGGACCCCCCCCCCUUAUCCCUGAGAAGACUGGGCAGGAAUCCCUCUAGAGACCCUGAAAGCCAGCGAGUGAAGUGAAGGAGCCUAUAAUCCUAUUACCUGUGUUUCUCUUCAAAAUUUAGACAAACACCCCACUAACUCUAUUAAGUUUGUGAUUAAAAUUUUGAUACAAGAAGCAGAAAUACUGGGAUAUAUAGAUUCCUCUACAGCCUUGUUUCUAAUACAAGAAUAUCCUCGUAUCAGACUGCAAUUCCAUGCUACAUUUUGCUAGUUGUCACCCUCGUCAAUUGAAAAAAAAAAUUACCAUAUUCCCAAUUCCUUAGAUUAAAAAGGUAUUCUUCCACCAACAUCCAUUAUGAGAUGGCAGCUGACCAAUAUCAAUUGGAGUUACAGGAUAGAGCUUUUCCUCCUUAUAUAGUACAAGAUGCUAGGAACAGAGCUACCCCAAAGGAUCGUUCCACGUUAUUUCUUUCCUCGAACAGAAACACAGGUAAUAGGAUUAUAGGCUCCUUCACUUUUAAUCAUGGUGCUCAUCGUAUUAAACAUAUCAUACGAAAACAUUGGCACAUGGUACAGAAUAUUCCAGGCUGUUCGCAGGCACCCAUUAUAGCUUUCAGGAGAACUAGAAAUCUUAAAGGCUCUUUAGUUCACACAGAUUUUCAAGUAGGUGCUCAAGAGAUAUCCCAUGUUAGAAGACGCUACAAAUGUGGUCAUUGUAGCUGUUGUAAACUAUCUUUAAAUAUCAUCCAAUAACAAAGGAAUGCUUUGAGUUGAAAUCAUUUACUAACUGCAAUUCUCUAAAUGUUAUCUAUGUGAUUGUAUGUCCGUGUCAGAAAAUGUAUGUAGGUCAAACUACUAGACCAUUAAGAACUAGAAUUUCCGAACAUAAAAGUACUAUUCGGAAUAAAAGUUUGGAUAACACAUUCGUUACACAUUUUUCACAAUGACAUCAUUCUCCAGAUUCUUUAAAAUGUUUUGUAAUUGAGCAAGUCAAAUUUGGUUCAUUUUAUAGUGGAAACAAACAAACUAAACUCUUACAAAGAGUGUCUUUUUGGAUUCAUGUUAACAUCUAACACACCUAAAGGUCUAAAUGAACGUCUAGAUUUAAGUUUGUUCUUGUAAGACUGCUGAAAUUUAAUCAUUAGACAAUAUUACACAUAAGGGUAAACAUGUGAUUAAUGUUGGUUCAUUAAUAUGGGUUUGGAGGACAGGAUGAUAACUUAAGGUUAAUUGAUGUUAUUGUGAUUUUGUGUUGGAAAUGUACAGACAAUAUGUCAUAACAGGUUGAUAUUUAUUAUAAAUGCCAUUGGAUGUAUAUGAAUGGUGUUGUAAUAUAGUACAUUCAGCCAAGUUUUCAGGCUUACUUUGUGAAACUUGUAGGACUACAUAACCUAAUGGAUACACCUUUAAGAAAUUUCAUGCUCUAGAUAAUAACCUGUAGCCUAUUGUAGAGGCAAAGUAUAUUGCAACAUACACUCUUUGUAAAUUCUUACUGAGCAAUCUUCUUAUUUGUCAAUCCAAACUGUUUGGAGACGUGGGUAAGCUAAGAUAUUGUUAUCUUGAUACUGUAUACCAUUAUGUAUCUUAUUGUCCCUGUUAAUUGCUGUACUAAUUUCUGUUAACUUUGUAUGUCUAGAAACAUGACAUACUUGCAAUGUUAGUCCGACAUUGAAUGAUUCAAGUUUGCUGAUGAAGACCAACUAAGGGUCGAAACGGCCUCAAAGCACUCCGGAGGUAGCCGUCUUUUCACCAUUAAAAAGGUAGAAUCAAGGAAGGACUCUGCUACCUGUGAAGACCGCACGCCAUAUUUUCAUGCCUCUUUGCUGCAAGCACCAAUGAUGAUUUUUUCAGUUUGAUUGUUGGGACUGGGUUGCUGCAGCUUUAUCACAUGGACUUGGCUGUACAGUGUUACUUAUGCAUAUACAGUUGUUCUAAUGUGUGUUAUGAAGAAACUAUAUUGCCAAUACAAACGUAUAUGUUUUGGUAAAUGAGA